rnacentral:rRNA from 1 species
GGAAUCUUAGACAAUGGGGGAAACCCUGAUCUAGCCAUGCCGCGUGAGCGAUGAAGGCCUUAGGGUUGUAAAGCUCUUUCAGUGGGGAAGAUAAUGACGGUACCCACAGAAGAAGCCCCGGCUAACUCCGUGCCAGCAGCCGCGGUAAUACGAAGGGGGCUAGCGUUGUUCGGAUUUACUGGGCGUAAAGCGCGCGUAGGCGGGUCGUUAAGUCAGGGGUGAAAUGCCGAGGCUCAACCUCGGAACUGCCUUUGAUACUGGCGACCUGGAGUUCGGGAGAGGUGAGUGGAAUUCCGAGUGUAGAGGUGAAAUUCGUAGAUAUUCGGAGGAACACCAGAAGCGAAGGCGGCUCACUGGCCCGAUACUGACGCUGAGGCGCGAAAGCGUGGGGAGCAAA